rnacentral:rRNA from 1 species
AGUGAACGCUGGCGGCGUGCUUAACACAUGCAAGUCGAACGAGAACGGAUUAUAGCUUGCUAUAAUUGUCAGCUAAGUGGCGCACGGGUGAGUAAUGUAUUGGUAAUAUGCCUCUUACUAAGGGAUAACAAAUGGAAACGUUUGCUAAUACCUUAUACUCCUUAUUAACAUAAGUUAAUAAGGGAAAGAUUUAUUGGUAAGAGAUUAGCCUGUAUUGUAUCAGUUAGUUGGUGGGGUAAUGGCUUACCAAGACUAUGACACAUAACUGGUUUGAGAGGAUGAUCAGUCACACUGGAACUGAGACACGGUCCAGACUCCUACGGGAGGCAGCAGCGGGGAAUAUUGCACAAUGGACGAAAGUCUGAUGCAGCAACGCCGCGUGGAGGAUGACACAUUUCGGUGCGUAAACUCCUUUUAUAUGAGAAGAUAAUGACGGUAUUAUAUGAAUAAGCACCGGCUAACUCCGUGCCAGCCGCCGCAGUAA